GGCCUGGGAUACAGAAGACUCUCUAUACAUGUCAGAGUUGGAAAUGCUGUCUGAAGAUGCUGGAAAGAAAGACCCUCCCAUAUAGAAGAAAUGGGGGUUGAUACAGCAGCUGCUGCCAGUGUUCC